UCAAAAAAUUUGUAGUUUUAUUUACAAUAAAAUUUGUGAUUUAUUUUAAAUCUUUUUUGAU
rnacentral:tRNA from 1 species